UUAAUUUCUUUUUGUCACUUUAUCACUAAAAGAACCGCUGUGAACUUAUUGAGAAUCACAAGCUUGACAUUACAGGUUAGUUUUUCCAUU